rnacentral:tRNA from 1 species
CGGGAUGUGGCGCAGUGGGUAGCGCGCGUGCUCGGGGAGCACGAGGCCGCCGGUUCGAGCCCGGCCAUCCCGA